rnacentral:misc_RNA from 1 species
UUUCCGUAGGUGAACCUGCGGAAGGAUCAUUAUUGAAACUCCGUCCGGGCCGUCGCGGCCCUCAGCACCGGUGUAAACGCCGCGUUGCGGGGGCCACGCGUGCACUCGUCCAAACCUAACCCCUGUGAACCUUACGGGAUGGCCUGGGUUAGCGCCCGGUGCCGUUCCGCUUCGUCCAAACACCUAUCAAAGAAUGAACUGAAGGCGGUCUGACCGCCGGAUAACAAACCUGAAACAACUUUCAACAACGGAUCUCUUGGCUCUC